rnacentral:rRNA from 1 species
GGGGGAAAAAUUAAUAAUUUAGAUUUAAUAGAAGAAUUUUUAAAGAGAAAAUAUUUAAUGGGGGUUAAAGUAUUUUUUAUAGAAAAAAUUAUAAUAUUUAUAGUGAAUUAGUAUUGUAUAAGAAUUGUGAAAUAUUUGAAAAUAAAUUUAUUUAAUAGUAAAUUUAAUUUAUUGUAUCUUGUGUAUCAGAGUUUAUUAAUAAAGAAUUUUUUGAAAAAAAUUUCUCGAAUUUGAAAGAGUUAAUUAGUUAAAAAAGUUAAUGUAGCAUAAUUAUUUUAAAUAAUUAAUUGGAAAUGAAAUGUUAAUCGUUUUUAAAUAUAUCUAGUUUUUUUAGAAAAAAAUUUAAUUUUGAAUAUUAAAGUUAAAAAUUUUUAUUAGAAAAAAUUUUGUUAAUUAAUGUUUAAUAUUUUAAGGGAUAAGCUUUAAAAAUAAAUUUUUAUAAUAUUAUUCCAAUUUAAUUAAAAAUUUUAGAAUUUAUAUUGUUAAUAAAUUAUAAUUUUUUAUAAAUAAUUUAAUUUAAAGUUAAAAUUUAAUUUAAUAUUUAAUUUUUUAUGAAAAAAUAUUUUUAAAUAAUAUAGAAUUAGUUAUAAUGAUAAAAUUAGUAUAUUUAAGGAAAGUUUUCACAAAAAAAAAUGAAAAUUUUAAAAAAGGAAUUCGGCAAAAAUUUAUAUUCACUUGUUUAUCAAAAACAUGUCUUUUUGAAAAUAAUAUAAAGUCUAAUCUGCCCACUGAUAAAAUUAAAGGGCUGCAGUAUUUUGACUGUACAAAGGUAGCAUAAUCAAUAGUCUCUUAAUUGGUGACUUGUAUGAAAGAUUGGAUGAAAUAUAAGCUGUCUUUAUUUAAAUAUUAAAAAUUAAUUUUUUAGUUAAAAAGCUAAGAUAUUUUUAAAAGACGAGAAGACCCUAUAGAGUUUUAUAAUUUAAUUUAAUUUUAAUAUUUUAUGUUUUUUUUUAUUAAAAUAAAGGGAAUUAUUUUGUUGGGGUGAUAGAAAAACUUAAAAAACUUUUUUUUGAUGUUAACAUUGAUAUAUGAUUAAAUGAUCCAUAAAUAAUGAUUAUAAGAAAAAAUUACCUUAGGGAUAACAGCGUAAUUUUUUUUUUUAGUUCAAAUAAGAAGAAAAGUUUGCGACCUCGAUGUUGGAUUAAGAUAAAAUUUAAAUGCAAAAGUUUAAAAUUUUUGAUCUGUUCGAUCAUUAAAAUCUUACAUGAUCUGAGUUCAAACCGGUGUGAGCCAGGUUGGUUUCUAUCUUUAGAUAAUAAUUAAUAUUUUAGUACGAAAGGAUCAAAUAUUAGAAAUAAUUUUAUUAUUAUGAAUUUUAUUAAUUUAUGAAUAAAU